UGAUUACUGAUCAUGCGUGCUCAGCAUACUCUUACAUUUCCGUUCCUCUAUAUGACACUCUAGGACCGGAUGCUUUGUCAAGUAUAUUGUGAACCAUGCUGCAGUACAAGCCAUCUUUUGUGUUCCCCAAACACUCAAUGGGAAUCCCUGUUUCAGAGCUUUGUCAACACUGAUUUUUGUUGUACAAUGGGGAUGCUACACAGCAUCUUUUUGAAGUCUCAGCAAGUCUUGAUUCUCUUGUCCUUGGAGAAGGACAAUUUCCUAGACUAAAUGGGUAUACUUGUUGAGUGAAAUGUGAUGAGAGGCAUAAGACUAUAGUAGAACAUUCAAAUGAGAAGAUAAGUUGUUAGCAUACUUUAUCACGAUUUCAUAUGCUUAUGGAUAUAUUUAUGAA